rnacentral:lncRNA from 1 species
AUCCCUUGACCUAAUAGCCUUCACGCUCUCUUAAUUACGUCAUGCCCAGUGUUGUGUUGUUUUUUUCUCUUUCCAGGAAGCCUUGUGUGAGUGGUAAUCGGCUAGAGGAUAUAACCAGCCCUCAGGGAGGUUGUUCUGGUAGUCUGGAGGAGAUGGCGUACAGGAUGGCAGUACUGCUGCUGAGCGGAUUCCUCCUGCUCUCCCUCUGCAGACCUACGCUUCAGAAAGGAGUGUACUUCUCUACAAGAACUGGAGUUGGAACUGAGGAAAGACCAGGAGUUGCAGUUGGGACCAGAAUAGAAGGUGGAUAUGACCUAAGAGGGGCUGGAAUUGGUGGAGUAGCUCCUGGUAGAGAAGGAACUGGUGGACUAGGACUUACUGGAGUUGGACCUGGUAUUCUGGUACCUGGUGGAGUUGGACCAAGGGGUGUAGGAGUUGGUGGACUUGAAUCGGGUAAAGGAGCUUGUUGUCAAAUAGCACACUUUCAAUUAUUUUUAUUUUUUUUAUAG